GUGCCCGUAACUCAGUGGUAGAGUGUGAGAUUGCAAUAGAUAAGGCGAUCUAAGGAACGAUCAAUCUCGCAGCCGCGUGUUCGAACCACGCCGGGCACU
rnacentral:tRNA from 1 species